rnacentral:rRNA from 1 species
AGAAACAGCAGUCGCCCGGGAAUACAGAGGGUGCGAGCGUUAAUCGGAUUUACUGGGCGUAAAGCGUGCGUAGGCGGCUUCUUAAGUCGGAUGUGAAAUCCCUGAGCUUAACUUAGGAAUUGCAUUCGAUACUGGGAAGCUAGAGUAUGGGAGAGGAUGGUAGAAUUCCAGGUGUAGCGGUGAAAUGCGUAGAGAUCUGGAGGAAUACCGAUGGCGAAGGCAGCCAUCUGGCCUAAUACUGACGCUGAGGUACGAAAGCAUGGGGAGCAAACAGGAUUAGAUACCCCCGUAGUCCCUGUCUCUUAUACC